GUUGGAGCUUAGUCAAGCAGCCAAGCAUUGUUCGAGUGUCUGGACUGUAUUAGAGAAUUUAGAGUAUUGGGAAGCUAGGCAAAGUUGUGAAAACAAGCUGUUGGGAGAAAGUUUGUCCUGGAAUUGUUUCUUUGGUGUACCGAGGGCGGCUAGAUUCUACUCCUUCUGAUUUGAACUUAUAUUUUCAUUGUUCGUCCUGUGACAAUAAGCUAGGGAAAGACUUGAAUCUAUGGAGAAAAUUACACCAGGAUACAUAUACAGCUCACAUUGAAGCUUGAAGCAUUUAGAUUGGUAUUGGCGUUAUAAAGCUUAUGGGAUGCUACUCUGAAGAUAAAUGUGGAGCACAGAUUGAAAGCUUGAAGCAUAGAAUUGCCUUGGAGUUGCAAAACUGAUGGGAUGCUACUUUGGUGGGCUGCUCAAGUCGAGUAGCUGAGGCACCAAUCACACUACCACCCGACAAGGUGUGGAAUGAUCAUGAUGUAGAGAUUAAAGAAGGUUAAGAAACCUUGAUUACUCUUCUUUCCCUCAUUCACCAGGAGAUUCCCUUUUGCAGAGGAUGGGGAAAAUGAGCAUCCUAUUAAUAUGAUUGGAAUCCCAGCUCAACAACUUCCCUUUGUCUUGAAAAUCAAGUCAUGCCUUUCUGAGUUGACAAUUUCUUACUGCAACAAGCUCAAGCACUGCCGAACUUCGUGUGUAAGACACCACUACAGAAAUUUCUCAUCGAAGGAUCUCCAAUUCUCCAAGACCUUUACAGACAUGGAGUGGGCCAAGGUUUCACUCACAUCACAAGCAUCAAGAUAUAGUCAAAUCUGAUGAUGCAUCUUUCGAUGAAGAUGAUUAAUCAAGAUGACUGAUAAGUGAAAAGAUUUCAGACCUCAGCUUCUCUUGGAACAAGCACAUUUUUAAAAGGAGAGAUUUGUCUAAUGUCCAUUUUUUCAAACUGGGAGGCAUGGCUUCAACACUGAUUUCCAAUGGAUGUCAUCAUUGGAGGGCAGAAGAGAAACAUGAGGCAUUGUCUUCCCCUAGCCUUCAAAUACAUCAGUGAUUAGUUGAGCAUGUUCUCGCAGAGUUGUAGCAUUGACCGAACCCUUGAGGGUAUUGAAGAUGUCAAAGAUUCGAAGAUCUUACUGGUUGGUUAUAAAUGUGCUUCCUCAGAUGCUCAGCUCCGUAUCAAUUUUAGUAGUUAUUACUUCUUCAGCUUGAUUUCUUCAAAAUACAGCAAAUGAUGAUUCAUGGCCAUGUGAAUAGCUGAAUGGAUUGCUGGACUUCCCAAACAAAUUGAUCCUCACCCCUAAGAUGAGAAGUAGACCAGGCUACUUGUACUGCUCAUAUUGAAGCUUGAUGCAUUCAGAAUGGCAUCAGACUAUCAGAGUUUGAAAAUCUUUUGGUUCAUCACAUGGACCGAGGAUGAAGCUGAGUCAAGAGCAUCUCUUCCGAGCCUCUAGACUUUAAUUGUAACAAUGACCUGACAUUGGAGAAGUUAGACUCGGGAUUGUUCCUUUGGUCUAACUAGAUCCUGCUAGCUUGCGUGUCCUUCUGCUGAUUUAACUUCUAGUAGGAGAUUUUCUUUUGCAGAGGAUGGGGCAAAUGACCAUGCAUCCAAAACAUGAUCGGAAGUCAAGCUGAACUUCUAAACAGGAAAUGAUGAUUCAUAUAUGGUCAUGUAAAAGCUGAAAGCAUUGCUGAACUUCCCUAGACAAGAUGAUUUCCAUGCCUUAGAUGAGAAUAGCACCAGGCUGCUCAUACUGCUCAUACUGAAACUUGACGCAUUCAGAAUCGCAUCAAGGUUGUCAAGUUGAUGGGACGCUAAUCUGAUCUCCAGAGGAUGGAGCUUAGCCAAGCAGCUGCGCAGCUCUUCGAGUGUCUGGACUUGAUUAGAGUUGUUUGGUAACUAUGCAAGGCUAUAACAAUGAGAUGUAAUGGGAGAAAGUUGUUCUCGGGAUUGUUUCUUUGGUGUACCUAGGUUCUGCUAGCUUAUGUCCCCUUCUGCUGAUUUUUAUUGGAGCAUAUAUAGGAGGUCACAAAAAGCACCAGGUGUGCCUGUUCUUGAAGCUUUGACGGAACCCAUGUAUCAAGUAUUCUUCAUAGUUGGUAGUCAUGCACUGCAUAUCGAAGAUCUUCCUGGUUGGUACUUUAAAAGGAAACAUACGAAGCUGACCAUCACCAACUCAAAAAUUCAUCAAACAACUUCGAGCUCUUGUUGUCAAACUUCUCUUUCAGUUGAGGGAUUUAUUCCAGCUCAUGUUGAUACUAAGCUUCGGAGGAAAAUGACUACAUGACACCCAAUUCUCUUUUUGCCACUGCUGACAAAACAUUCGUUGUGAGGGAUCAAAGAGAACAGAAUGUGGUUCAUGAAUCUAAUGGCAAUGAAGAGUUUGGAGAGAGUCGGCCCCCUGCUAAUGACUUGGAUGAAAUUCAAGAGGAGUUGUUGGUUUAUCAAAAUGUUGUCUCAGAGGCUCAAACCGCAUGCAGCGUCAAUGUUGAGCCACAAAAGGGUUAAGAAAUUCAGAUUUCGGAACAAGCUGUUGAGCACACCGUUAACCCCUGAGGAACAGCAGAAUGAGACAUCAAUGAGUCCUGUGAUUGAACAAGACCAAGGGAGUUCCGAUGAAGCAGCCACAAUUUUCAGUCGCCAAGUAAACAAAGUGCUGGAACAAGUUAGUCCUUCUGGUGUUGUGAUUUUAGAGGAUCAGGUUGAAGGAACUCCAGGGGAUGGAGACAAUCAACCUAGCCGAAAUGUGUUUGUACCAACCAUCUCGGUAACUCCAUCCCCAACCAUCUCAAUCUCUCAACUUGAGACCUCAAGUGAACAUGACAAUUUCCAAGCUGCCAUAAACCAAGUUGUUACUUCAAUUGACGGCGCCACGAAUUCAAUUGACAUUACUCCUGGCAGCAAAGAGACUAGGACUGUUUCUUCACCAGCAAAUAGAAAGUUCCAAUCUGUUUUGGUCUCUAUUGAUCGUUCAUACCAUCCAAAACCUCCAGAGAUCUGAACGUCAGAUCCCAGGGCUCAAAAGCCAACUUCAGAGAUCUGAACGCGAGGUGGAUGACCUCAAUCACAGUAUAGACCAAGCCCUUGAGUACGAAGAAAGCAUUGAGGAUGCCAACCUCCAAAAGCAGAUGGUUUUUCCACUUUUUCGCCAGAUAGAGACCUCUUGCAUUUGGUCCUUGACUUGCUUUCAAAAGUUGCAAACAAAAUGAAAAUUGUAGUAUUUCUAAUGGGAUUGGAGCAUGUCCGUUGUUUUUGUUUUACAAUUUGCUCUUCAUGAA